AUGAUAUUAUAUAUAGAAACAAGAGGUAGAUACGUUACCAACGCACCAAAACAUAAACCGUGAAUUGGUCCUAAUUGGGACCAGUGGAAUCAGUCAGAUUGUGACUUGUGACAGCGAACGCACAUGCUGAUAUAAACGUUAAAAUUAUCAAUAAUGCCUUCUUGUGUGUUCAGAAAGUGCACAAAUUACGAUAGUAAAAUAAAGAAAGAUAGAGGAAUAUCAUAUCACAGGCACCACUAUUAUUAUAUCCUACAAGUUGGAGUGAUGACCUUGUACGGGUUCCGGGAACUGCCUUGAAACGAAUAGCGUAAGAUCGGUCCGAAUGGAGUUCUAUAAGGAGGACUAUGCUCAGCAGUGGGUGCUUAUCGGGUGAAAUGAUGAUGACCGAAAACGAACACCACAGCUAGUAAUAAAUGCUUAAUACAGUUAUAUCUCCAAAAAAGUUUUUUCAUUUUAAUACAACUUCAUAAUAAUAAUUAAAUAGUAAAUGAAAUUGUCACAUUUGUUUACGUGUGCAGGAAACGUAAUAUCUAUAACAUUGAACCUUCUGUGUCGUUAGUCUAUGCCAAUUGCCAUGGCAACUAUUUGUUUAUUUAUAUUUAAUUGGUGAAUUCUUAUGACUUUUGCUUACACCUGCGCGGAAGUGACAAACUAUCUUUGUCUUUUUUGUUUAUAUCAUUUUAUUAGAGCCAUCUCUCUUAUACAGUCUGUCAAUGUAAUAAAUUAAGUAAAAUGAAACUUGUAUUUGUGUGUGCCUGACACUGCAUAUGAAGCAUUUUUUUUGGAUAUAUUGUGAGUAUAUAACGUAUCUAUACAUAAAAUAUCAUUGAUAAUACUUUAUUG